UACAGAGGUCCCAAGCGUUGUUCGGAUUCAUUGGGCGUAAAGGGUGCGUAGGUGGCGCUGUAAGUCAGGUGUGAAAUUUCGGGGCUUAACCCCGAAACUGCACUUGAUACUGCGGUGCUUGAGGACUGGAGAGGAGACUGGAAUUUACGGUGUAGCAGUGAAAUGCGUAGAUAUCGUAAGGAAGACCAGUGGCGAAGGCGGGUCUCUGGACAGUUCCUGACACUGAGGCACGAAGGCCAGGGGAGCAAACGGG
rnacentral:rRNA from 1 species